UACGUAGGGUGCGAGCGUUAAUCGGAAUUACUGGGCGUAAAGCGUGCGCAGGCGGUUUUGUAAGCCAGAUGUGAAAUCCCCGGCUUAACCUGGGAAUGGCAUUUGGGACUGCAAGGCUGGAGUGCGGCAGAGGAGACUGGAAUUCCCGGUGUAGCAGUGAAAUGCGUAGAUAUCGGGAGGAAUACCGAUGGCGAAGGCAGGUCUCUGG
rnacentral:rRNA from 1 species